GUUGGCCUCGGAUCAGGUGGGGAUACCCGCUGAACUUAAGCAUAUCAAUAAGCGGAGGAAAAGAAACCAACAGGGAUUGCCUCAGUAACGGCGAGUGAAGCGGCAACAGCUCAAAUUUGAAAUCUGGCGCAAGCCCGAGUUGUAAUUUGCAGAGGAUGUUUCGGGUGAAGCCACGGUCCAAGUCCCUUGGAACAGGACGUCAUAGAGGGUGAGAACCCCGUACCUGGCCGUCGGUGCCCCCCGCUGUGAAACUCCUUCGACGAGUCGAGUUGUUUGGGAAUGCAGCUCUAAAUUGGUGGUAAAUUCCAUCUAAAGCUAAAUACCGGCCAGAGACCGAUAGCGCACAAGUAGAGUGAUCGAAAGAUGAAAAGCACUUUGAAAAGAGAGUUAAAAAGUACGUGAAAUUGUUGAAAGGGAAGCGCUUGCGGCCAGACUUGCCCGCGGUUGCUCAGCCCGCCCUUUGGCGGGUGCACUCUUCCGCGGUCAGGCCAGCAUCGGUUUGGGCGGCCGGAUAAAGGCGUUGGGAACGUAGCCUCCCCUCGGGGAGGUGUUAUAGCCCGGCGCGCAAUGCGACCAGCCCGGACCGAGGUUCGCGCUCUGCUAGGAUGCUGGCGUAAUGGCCGUAAGCGGCCCGUCUUGAAACACGGACCAAGGAGUCUAACAUCUAUGCGAGUGUUUGGGUGUCAAACCCGUGCGCGUAAUGAAAGUGAACGGAGGUGGGAACCGCAAGGUGCACCAUCGACCGAUCCUGAUGUCUUCGGAAGGAUUUGAGUAAGAGCAUAGCUGUUGGGACCCGAAAGAUGGUGAACUAUGCGUGAAUAGGGUGAAGCCAGAGGAAACUCUGGUGGAGGCUCGCAGCGGUUCUGACGUGCAAAUCGAUCGUCAAAUUUGCGUAUAGGGGCGAAAGACUAAUCGAACCAUU
rnacentral:rRNA from 1 species